rfam:Myotis brandtii contig157904, whole genome shotgun sequence.
AGCUUUGUGCAAUGGCAGGAUUGUAGCCAAUGAGGUUUAUACGAGGCACGAUUAUUGCUAAUUGAAAGAACAAAAAUAAAUUAAAAAACCCACAUAUCCUUGGGUGAGGAUUUUUUAAAAAGUCAACUCAUCGAGAGAUG